rnacentral:rRNA from 1 species
GACGAACGCUGGCGGCGUGCUUAACACAUGCAAGUCGAACGGAAAGGCCUCUUUCGGGGGGUACUCGAGUGGCGAACGGGUGAGUAACACGUGAGUAACCUGCCCUUGACGUUGGGAUAACUUCAGGAAACUGGGGCUAAUACCGGAUAGGAGCUCCUGCUGCAUGGUGGGGGUUGGAAAGUUUCGGCGGUUGGGGAUGGACUCGCGGCUUAUCAGCUUGUUGGUGGGGUAGUGGCUUACCAAGGCUUUGACGGGUAGCCGGCCUGAGAGGGUGACCGGCCACAUUGGGACUGAGAUACGGCCCAGACUCCUACGGGAGGCAGCAGUGGGGAAUAUUGCACAAUGGGUGGAAGCCUGAUGCAGCAACGCCGUGUGCGGGAUGACGGCCUUCGGGUUGUAAACCGCUUUCGCUCAUGACGAAGCUUUGUGUGACGGUAGUGGGUAAAGAAGCACCGGCUAACUACGUG